rnacentral:rRNA from 1 species
GCUGGCGGCAGGCCUAACACAUGCAAGUCGAACGGUAACAGGAAGAAGCUUGCUUCUUUGCUGACGAGUGGCGGACGGGUGAGUAAUGUCUGGGAAACUGCCUGAUGGAGGGGGAUAACUACUGGAAACGGUAGCUAAUACCGCAUAAUGUCGCAAGACCAAAGAGGGGGACCUUCGGGCCUCUUGCCAUCGGAUGUGCCCAGAUGGGAUUAGCUAGUAGGUGGGGUAACGGCUCACCUAGGCGACGAUCCCUAGCUGGUCUGAGAGGAUGACCAGCCACACUGGAACUGAGACACGGUCCAGACUCCUACGGGAGGCAGCAGUGGGGAAUAUUGCACAAUGGGCGCAAGCCUGAUGCAGCCAUGCCGCGUGUAUGAAGAAGGCCUUCGGGUUGUAAAGUACUUUCAGCGGGGAGGAAGGGAGUAAAGUUAAUACCUUUGCUCAUUGACGUUACCCGCAGAAGAAGCACCGGCUAACUCCGUGCCAGCAGCCGCGGUAAUACGGAGGGUGCAAGCGUUAAUCGGAAUUACUGGGCGUAAAGCGCACGCAGGCGGUUUGUUAAGUCAGAUGUGAAAUCCCCGGGCUCAACCUGGGAACUGCAUCUGAUACUGGCAAGCUUGAGUCUCGUAGAGGGGGGUAGAAUUCCAGGUGUAGCGGUGAAAUGCGUAGAGAUCUGGAGGAAUACCGGUGGCGAAGGCGGCCCCCUGGACGAAGACUGACGCUCAGGUGCGAAAGCGUGGGGAGCAAACAGGAAUUAGAUACCCUGGUAGUCCACGCCGUAAACGAUGUUGACUUGGAGGUUGUGCCCUUGAGGCGUGGCUUCCGGAGCUAACGCGUUAAGUCGACCGCCUGGGGAGUACGGCCGCAAGGUUAAAACUCAAAUGAAUUGACGGGGGCCCGCACAAGCGGUGGAGCAUGUGGUUUAAUUCGAUGCAACGCGAAGAACCUUACCUGGUCUUGACAUCCACAGAACUUUCCAGAGAUGGAUUGGUGCCUUCGGGAAUUGUGAGACAGGUGCUGCAUGGCUGUCGUCAGCUCGUGUUGUGAAAUGUUGGGUUAAGUCCCGCAACGAGCGCAACCCUCAUCCUUUGUUGCCAGCGGUCCGGCCGGGAACUCAAAGGAGACUGCCAGUGAUAAACUGGAGGAAGGUGGGGAUGACGUCAAGUCAUCAUGGCCCUUACGACCAGGGCUACACACGUGCUACAAUGGCGCAUACAAAGAGAAGCGACCUCGCGAGAGUAAGCGGACCUCAUAAAGUGCGUCGUAGUCCGGAUUGGAGUCUGCAACUCGACUCCAUGAAGUCGGAAUCGCUAGUAAUCGUGGAUCAGAAUGCCACGGUGAAUACGUUCCCGGGCCUUGUACACACCGCCCGUCACACCAUGGGAGUGGGUUGCAAAAGAAGUAAAGAGCUUAACCUUCGGGAGGGCGCUUACCACUUUGUGAUU